rnacentral:misc_RNA from 1 species
CCAACCUCUUUGACCAAAUGAUGGAUGCUAUCGUCUUCGCCAUGAAACGGCUCGGGUACCCGGAUAUCCGGCUUUUCAUCGCGGAAACGGGUUGGCCCAACAACGGAGACUUCGACCAAAUCGGAGCCAAUAUUUACAAUGCUGCCACUUACAAUCGCAACGUGGUCAAAAGACUCACAGCCAAACCCGCCUUUGGCACCCCAGCCCGACCCGGAUCGGUGAUACCUUCUUUCAUAUUCGCAUUAUAUAAUGAGAAUCAAAAACCAGGUCCUGGCACGGAGCGGCAUUUCGGGUUACUAUACCCUAACGGUUCAAAAGUCUACGAGAUAGAUCUAAGUGG